rnacentral:rRNA from 1 species
UACGUAGGGGGCAAGCGUUGUCCGGAAUUAUUGGGCGUAAAGAGCGUGUAGGCGGCCAGGUAGGUCUGCCGUGAAAACUCGAGGCUCAACCUCGAGACGUCGGCGGAAACCAUCUGGCUAGAGUCCGGAAGAGGAGAGUGGAAUUCCUGGUGUAGCGGUGAAAUGCGCAGAUAUCAGGAAGAACACCCGUGGCGAAGGCGGCUCUCUGGGACGGUACUGACGCUGAGACGCGAAAGCGUGGGGAGCGAACAGG